AACGAACGCUGGCGGCAUGCCUAAUACAUGCAAGUCGAACGGGAAAAGCCUUCGGGUUAGUACUAGUGGCGCACGGGUGAGUAACACGUGGAUAAUCUACCUUUUAGUGGGGAACAACAGUUGGAAACGACUGCUAAUACCGCAUAAGACCACACUACCUGCGGGUAGAGUGAUUAAAGAUGGCCUCUUCUUGAAAGCUAUCGCUAGAAGAUGAGUCCGCGUACCAUUAGCUUGUUGGUGGGGUAAUGGCCUACCAAUGCUACGAUGGUUAGCUGGUCUGAGAGGAUGAUCAGUCACACUGGAACUGAGACACGGUCCAG
rnacentral:rRNA from 1 species